rnacentral:rRNA from 1 species
AUUGAACGCUGGCGGAAUGCUUUACACAUGCAAGUCGAACGGCAGCACGGGGCAACCUGGUGGCGAGUGGCGAACGGGUGAGUAAUACAUCGGAACGUGCCCAAUCGUGGGGGAUAACGUAGCGAAAGUUACGCUAAUACCGCAUACGAUCUACGGAUGAAAGCGGGGGAUCGUAAGACCUCGCGUUAAUGGAGCGGCCGAUGCCGGAUUAGCUAGUUGGUGAGGUAAAGGCUCACCAAGGCGACGAUCCGUAGCUGGUCUGAGAGGACGACCAGCCACACUGGAACUGAGACACGGUCCAGACUCCUACGGGAGGCAGCAGUGGGGGAAUUUUGGACAAUGGGCGCAAGCCUGAUCCAGCCAUGCCGCGUGUGUGAAGAAGGCCU